CGGCCGCGUCGACGUUUGAUCCUGGCUCAGGACGAACGCUGGCGGCGUGCUUAACACAUGCAAGUCGAACGGAAAGGCCCUGCUUUUGUGGGGUGCUCGAGUGGCGAACGGGUGAGUAACACGUGAGUAACCUGCCCUUGACUUUGGGAUAACUUCAGGAAACUGGGGCUAAUACCGGAUAGGAGCUCCUGCUGCAUGGUGGGGGUUGGAAAGUUUCGGCGGUUGGGGAUGGACUCGCGGCUUAUCAGCUUGUUGGUGGGGUAGUGGCUUACCAAGGCUUUGACGGGUAGCCGGCCUGAGAGGGUGACCGGCCACAUUGGGACUGAGAUACGGCCCAGACUCCUACGGGAGGCAGCAGUGGGGAAUAUUGCACAAUGGGCGCAAGCCUGAUGCAGCGACGCCGCGUGAGGGAUGACGGCCUUCGGGUUGUAAACCUCUUUCAGUAGGGAAGAAGCGAAAGUGACGGUACCUGCAGAAGAAGCAC
rnacentral:rRNA from 1 species